rnacentral:rRNA from 1 species
GUGGGGAAUAUUAGGCAAUGGGCGAAAGCCUGACCUAGCAACGCCGCGUGAAGGAAGAAGGCCUUCGGGUUGUAAACUUCUUUUAUGAGGGACGAAGGACGUGACGGUACCUCAUGAAUAAGCCACGGCUAACUACGUGCCAGCAGCCUCGGUAAUACGUAGGUGGCGAGCGUUGUCCGGAUUUACUGGGUGUAAAGGGCGCGUAGGCGGACUGGCAAGUCAGAUGUGAAAUACAGGGGCUCAACCCCUGAACUGCAUAUGGAACUGUUGGUCUUGAGUAUCGGAGAGGCAAGCGGAAUUCCUAGUGUAGCGGUGAAAUGCGUAGAUAUUAGGAGGAACACCAGUGGCGAAGGCGGCUUGCUGGACGACAACUGACGCUGAGGCGCGAAAGCGUGGGGAGCAAACAGGAUUAGAUACCCUAGUAGUCC